UUGAAAAGCUCGUAGUUGGGUUUCUGCGGAGGAAGCGCGGUCCGCACUUGGUGCGUGUAUCUGGUCUACCUACGCAUCUUCCAGUGAAACGCUACUGCGCUUUAUUGCGUGGCGCGGCAAUCUGGACUUUUACUUUGAGGAAAUUGGAGUGUUUACAGCGAGCGAUUGGUUUGAACAUAUUAGCAUGGAAUAAUAACCUAGAACCUUGGUUCUAUUUUGUUGGUUUCUAGACUAGGGUAAUGAUCAAUAGGGAUAAUUGGGGGCAUUUGUAUCAACACGUCAGAGGUGAAAUUCUUGGAUUGUGUUACGACGAACCACUGCGAAAGCAUUUGCCAAGGAUGUUUUCAUUGAUCAAGAACGAAAGUGCAGGGAUC
rnacentral:rRNA from 1 species